CCUACGGGCGGCAGCAGUGGGGAAUAUUGCACAAUGGGCGCAAGCCUGAUGCAGCCAUGCCGCGUGUGUGAAGAAGGCCUUCGGGUUGUAAAGCACUUUCAGCGGGGAGGAAGGCGGUGAGGUUAAUAACCUCAUCGAUUGACGUUACCCGCAGAAGAAGCACCGGCUAACUCCGUGCCAGCAGCCGCGGUAAUACGGAGGGUGCAAGCGUUAAUCGGAAUUACUGGGCGUAAAGCGCACGCAGGCGGUCUGUCAAGUCGGACGUGAAAUCCCCGGGCGCAACCUGGGAACUGCAUUCGAAACUGGCAGGCUAGAGUCUUGUAGAGGGGGGUAGAAUUCCAGGUGUAGCGGUGAGAUGCGUAGAGAUCUGGAGGAAUACCGGUGGCGAAGGCGGCCCCCUGGACAAAGACUGACGCUCAGGUGCGAAAGCGUGGGGAGCAAACAGGAUUAGAUACCCGAGUAGUC
rnacentral:rRNA from 1 species